CUAGUUCUUGUACCCAAGUUAAACCCAAAUUCUCUUACCUAGCCCAAAUAUACUUGAACCCAUUAGCCCAAACCCAUACCCUUCAAAUUAAAACCUAGACUUAGACCUAUAUAAAGAGAAGAUUAGUCUACACAUUAUCAAAUUUCACCCUACCCUGAAAAAGAAAAAUAGAGAGCGGCGCAUCUACAGGGGGUCUUCUUCUUCAUCUUGAUCUCUAAAAAGGGGCUUACACCCUUCCCCAAUACAAAUACAUCGUCGUUUCCUUCCAAAGCACACAUAGAUAACGAAGCUCCCUCUUAUCAACAUCUUCGAUUACAUAAUCUCACCCAUCUCUCACCUUCACACACAUCCCUAUGAAGAUAAAAAAAAUCACAAAGUUAUGAUAAACAAAAGAAAAAUCGGAAGUUCUAAAGGAAAACUUUAUUUUAAAACUCAACUUCUUCUUUUCUGGUUUGGUACAAGCUGUGGAAGCCGAGUUCAAAGCUGUUGCCUGCUGAUUUCGAAUCUGUUGUAGCUGAGCUUCAUCCCGAAAGUUUUUCUGGUCCUUGUCUGAUUUUUUGAAGUUUGCUUCAUUAGCUGCUACUCAAAAAUUAAGUCAACAAUUGUAGAAGCUAUAUCUGGUAUUAAGGGUGUAUUUUGUCCCAGGAUCGGGGCCUAAAACGAGCCUCGCGGGCUGGGCUUUGCGGUUCCGGAUUUCGUGAGCCUGAGCUCUAGCGAUCCCGGGCCUGGCGGUCCCGAUCUUCGUGGGCUUAAUGGGUGAGUCCAGCGCGUGACGAGCCUAAGUCCAUGUGAUCUUAGGCUUAACGAGCCGGGCCUGGCGGGCCUGGCAGGCCUGACAAGCUUUUUUUGUAAUUUUUUAAGGCAAUAUCUUGCAUAGUAGUUAUUAGUAUAGUAUAGAAUAUAUUUAUAUAGUAUACUAGUUAUUAGUAUAGUAUAACCGGCCUGUGACGGGUCUAAGCCCACAGUGGUCCUGGGCUUGGCGGGCCUGACAGGUUUUUUUAAGGCAAUAUCUUUUAUCGUAGUUAUUAGUAUAGUGUAGAAUAUAUUUUAUAUGGUGUACUAAGUUAUUAGUAUAGUAUAUAUGAUAUAUAUUUCAUUGUAUAUUGUGUUGUAGUAAUUAGUAUAUAUUGUAUGUUAUGUAUAUGUAUAUUCCCUUAUAUGAAUCACUUAUAUAUUUUCUUGUAUGUUAUGUAUAUAUAUUCUCUU
rnacentral:lncRNA from 1 species